rnacentral:rRNA from 1 species
CCUACGGGAGGCUGCAGUGGGGAAUAUUGGACAAUGGGGGGAACCCUGAUCCAGCCAUGCCGCGUGUGUGAAGAAGGCCCUCGGGUUGUAAAGCACUUUCAGUGAGGAAGAACGCCUGGUGGUUAAUACCCAUCAGGAAAGACAUCACUCACAGAAGAAGCACCGGCUAACUCCGUGCCAGCAGCCGCGGUAAUACGGAGGGUGCGAGCGUUAAUCGGAAUUACUGGGCGUAAAGCGCGCGUAGGUGGCUUUAUAAGCCGGUUGUGAAAGCCCCGGGCUCAACCUGGGAACGGCAUCCGGAACUGUCAAGCUAGAGUGCAGGAGAGGAAGGUAGAAUUCCCGGUGUAGCGGUGAAAUGCGUAGAGAUCGGGAGGAAUACCAGUGGCGAAGGCGGCCUUCUGGACUGACACUGACACUGAGGUGCGAAAGCGUGGGUAGCAAACAGGAUUAGAUACCCUGGUAGUC